rnacentral:rRNA from 1 species
CGCGUAGGCGGGCUGUCAAGUCUGGGGUGAAAUGCCGCGGCUCAACCGUGGAACUGCCUUAGAUACUGACGGCCUCGAGGAAGGUAGGGGCAUGCGGAACUGUAGGUGGAGCGGUGAAAUGCGUUGAUAUCUACAGGAACUCCGGUGGCGAAAGCGGCGUGCUGGACCUUUUCUGACGCUGAGGCGCGAAAGCUAGGGAGCAAACG